GACUGGCCAAGGGAAGAGCACGAAAGAAAGUGGUCUGCGAGGGCGCGGGAUCAAAAAGCAAGCAUAUUUGACAAGACUUGGAGGAGUUGAUGACAUCGACAUGGUGAAAAAAAACAAUGUCUGCAACUCUCUCAAAUGGAGUCAUGUCUCAAAUGAAUUUAAAGGGAAAAUGUGGGAAGCUCCCAUUUUCUCAGACCCAGCUUUUCCAGAUCAUAUGUG